rnacentral:rRNA from 1 species
GACGAACGCUGGCGGCGUGCCUAAUACAUGCAAGUCGAGCGGACCAAAGGGAGCUUGCUCCUGGAGGUUAGCGGCGAACGGGUGAGUAACACGUGGGCAACCUGCCUGUAAGACUGGGAUAACAUCGAGAAAUCGGUGCUAAUACCGGAUAAUAAAAAGAACUGCAUGGUUCUUUUUGAAAGAUGGUUUCGGCUAUCACUUACAGAUGGGCCGCGGCGCAUUAGCUAGUUGGUGAGGUAACGGCUCACCAAGGCGACGAUGCGUAGCCGACCUGAGAGGGUGAUCGGCCACACUGGGACUGAGACACGGCCCAGACUCCUACGGGAGGCAGCAGUAGGGAAUCUUCCGCAAUGGACGAAAGUCUGACGGAGCAACGCCGCGUGAGUGAUGAAGGUUUUCGGAUCGUAAAACUCUGUUGUUAGGGAAGAACAAGUGCCGUUCGAAAGGGCGGCACCUUGACGGUACCUAACGAGAAAGCCACGGCUAACUACGUGCCAGCAGCCG